CACAAGCAGUGGAGUAUGUGGUUUAAUUCGAAGCAACGCGAAGAACCUUACCAGGGCUUGACAUCCCUUGAAGCAGCUAGAGAUAGCUGUGUCCUUCGGGACAAGGAGACAGGUGGUGCAUGGUUGUCGUCAGCUCGUGUCGUGAGAUGUUGGGUUAAGUCCCGCAACGAGCGCAACCCCUAUUGUUAGUUGCCAUCAUUCAGUUGGGCACUCUAGCGAGACUGCCGGUAAUAAACCGGAGGAAGGUGGGGAUGACGUCAAAUCAUCAUGCCCCUUAUGACCUGGGCUACACACGUGCUACAAUGGUUGGUACAACGAGUUGCGAGUCGGUGACGGCGAGCUAAUCUCUUAAAGCCAAUCUCAGUUCGGACUGUAGGCUGCAACUCGCCUACAUGAAGUCGGAAUCGCUAGUAAUCGCGGAUCAGCACGCCGCGGCGAAUACGUUCCCGGGCCUU
rnacentral:rRNA from 1 species